rnacentral:rRNA from 1 species
UACAGAGGGGGCAAGCGUUGUUCGGAAUUACUGGGCGUAAAGGGCGCGUAGGCGGCCUGUUAAGUCGAACGUGAAAUCCCUGGGCUCAACCCAGGAACUGCGUCCGAUACUGGCAGGCUUGAAUCCGGGAGAGGGAUGCGGAAUUCCAGGUGUAGCGGUGAAAUGCGCAGAUAUCAGGAGGAACACCGGUGGCGAAGGCGGAUCUCUGGGCCUUGCCUGACGCUGAGGCGCGAAAGCUAGGGGAGCGAACAGG